AGAAAGAAAGCUGGAACUGCUAAUUCCACAUCCCCAUAACUAACAUUAUGGCUUUCUU
rnacentral:tRNA from 1 species